UCGUAGGUGACCUGCGGAGGGAUCAUUA
rnacentral:rRNA from 3 species